AUUGAACGCUGGCGGCAUGCUUUACACAUGCAAGUCGAACGGUAACAGGCCGCAAGGUGCUGACGAGUGGCGAACGGGUGAGUAAUGCAUCGGAACGUGCCCAGUCGUGGGAUAACGCAGCGAAAGCUGUGCUAAUACCGCAUACGAUCUAUGGAUGAAAGCGGGGGACCGUAAGGCCUCGCGCGAUUGGAGCGGCCGAUGUCAGAUUAGGUAGUUGGUGGGGUAAAGGCCCACCAAGCCAACGAUCUGUAGCUGGGCUGAGAGGACGACUAGCCACACUGGGACUGAGACACGGCCCAGACUCCUACGGGAGUCAGCAGUGGGGAAUUUUGGACAAUGGGCGCAAGCCUGAUCCAGCAAUGCCGCGUGCAGGAAGAAGGCCUUCGGGUUGUAAACUGCUUUUGUGCGGAACGAAACGGUCUGGGUUAAUACCCUGGGAUCAUGACGGUACCGUAAGAAUAAGCACCGGCUAACUACGUGCCAGCAGCCGCAGUAACAC
rnacentral:rRNA from 1 species